UGCCUCGAGCUAGGGAAGGCAAUUUCUGUCCAUACCCAAUUGCCCACCCAGCUCGCCCAUCAGUUGGCCCGCCCAAAACCCACCCAUUUGGUUAAAUAGUUCUAAAUGAGCGGGUAUGAAUUUAAAAGAGAGUAAACAGGCUCUUAAUGGGCGGGCAUCGCGCCCGCCUAACCCGCCCAGGUGAAAACCCUCGUUUUCCCGUUCUCGUCUCUCGUUCUCUGGUUCUUCGUUCCUCGUUCUCUCGCAAGCUCACAGUCUUUCAUCGACUCUCCCUUUCUCGUGCCUCUUCGUCUUGUGGUUUCGUCUCCUCAACAAGCUCGAAUCUUUCACUGAGAAUCCAUGGAUGAGGGAGAUUAAGAUAUUUUGAUUCCCCUUUGCCAGAUAUUUUCGAGGAGGCUGCUGCUUCCUCUUCUUGCUUCUUCUAGGGUUUCUUCAAAGGACAAGGUAAGUUUGGGACACUAGAAGCUCUUGGGAUUUCUUGUAUGCUUUUGACUACUGCAGGUGGCAUUGCCUGGCAUGCUGUCAAUGUUCUACAGGGAAUUAUCGACUUAGAGCACCCUGUCCUGGCCUUGAGCAUGACAACUGUCUCCAUCGCUGUUAAGGAAGGGUGACUUUGUGGAAGCUGCUGAGCAGUAUAUCGCAAUCUAUUAGUACUGAUUAUACUACUUGUUUUAAUUUUUUUUAGACAUGACUUGCAAAUGUAUCACAAUCUAUUAGUGCUAUGAUAACAUCUUUUGUAUUCGAAAGCAAAGUUAGUUGAAGCUGUUUAUGAACUUAAAUCAAGCAACAAUAAUGCAAAGUUUGUGUCAAUGUGAUUUGUAUCAUAUUUUCAUGUGA